UUAUAAUAAUCAAUAGUUACAUGUGUACAUAGCUACAUUAGAAUACAAUAACCGGUGAAAGUCAUCCGAGGCGAUAGUAGCAGAAGUAUAUCUAGAGACACUGCCAUGACCAUAACAGUUGUUAUAGAGUACCAGUAUGGCUGAUGCUCUGGUGGAAGAUUUGAGAGAUUGAAAGAGGAGAUUCUUGUCGUGUUCCCAGAUGCUGUCGUGAGGAGCACAAUGGGCCCAGAAUCUUCGUAUGAAAUAACACUAGAAGGUCAUCUCGUGUUCUCAAAACUCAAGCUCGGGGGUUAUCCAUAUAAUGACGACAUAAUGCAAUGUUUACGACAAGUUAACACUGGUGGUACACCGGAAGUUGUAAAGCGAGCUAAAAAGCCUACUUUUCUGAAAUAGGGGAAUACCAGGAAGAACAACAAUUGUUAUACAAUGUUAAUUUGAAUGUUUUAUAUGAUUUAAUUGGUGAUUAGAUGAACUUUAAGCUCUUCAAAGUGCACCUGUAUUUUUAUAGUAAAUCACACCUUUCAAUGUUCACACAUAAAAAAAAAAUGUUUGACUAAAAAUGCACGUAUUGGUUUAAAGCUGAAACAUUGCAUUACAUCAGUAUAAUAAUGUAUGUAUCUCCAUAAAAUAAUGUAACUGACAUCUGAGGUUUGCAAUGCAUUCCACUUGCACUUUAUAUACUUUUUAAUAAAUAUAUGGAUAAUAAUUUCUUAAAACAUGACAUCUAAACUUACAAAUCUGAAUACUUAGAUGAGUUUAGAUUGAUGAAUAAUUAUAGGAAUUUACACAACUAUGUCGUCGUCUAAAUUGAAAUUGUAUAAUUAAAAACAUUUUCAAAUGUU